GCACUACGGUGCUGAAGUAACAAAUGCCCUGCUUCCAGGAAAAGCCUCUAAGCAUCAGGUAACAUCAAAUCGUACCCCAAACCGACACAGGUGGUCAGGUAGAGAAUACCAAGGCGCUUGAGAGAACUCGGGUGAAGGAACUAGGCAAAAUGGUGCCGUAACUUCGGGAGAAGGCACGCUGGUGUGUAGGUGAAGCCCCUGCGGGUGGAGCUGAGACCAGUCGAAGAUACCAGCUGGCUGCAACUGUUUAUUAAAAACACAGCACUGUGCAAACACGAAAGUGGACGUAUACGGUGUGACGCCUGCCCGGUGCCGGAAGGUUAAUUGAUGGGGUUAUCCGUAAGGAGAAGCUCUUGAUCGAAGCCCCGGUAAACGGCGGCCGUAACUAUAACGGUCCUAAGGUAGCGAAAUUCCUUGUCGGGUAAGUUCCGACCUGCACGAAUGGCGUAAUGAUGGCCAGGCUGUCUCCACCCGAGACUCAGUGAAAUUGAACUCGCUGUGAAGAUGCAGUGUACCCGCGGCAAGACGGAAAGACCCCGUGAACCUUUACUAUAGCUUGACACUGAACAUUGAGCCUUGAUGUGUAGGAUAGGUGGGAGGCUUUGAAGCGUGGACGCCAGUCUGCGUGGAGCCAACCUUGAAAUACCACCCUUUAAUGUUUGAUGUUCUAACGUUGGCCCCUUACCGGGGUUGCGGACAGUGUCUGGUGGGUAGUUUGACUGGGGCGGUCUCCUCCCAAAGCGUAACGGAGGAGCACGAAGGUUAGCUAAUCCUGGUCGGACAUCAGGAGGUUAGUGCAAUGGCAUAAGCUAGCUUGACUGCGAGCGUGACGGCGCGAGCAGGUGCGAAAGCAGGUCAUAGUGAUCCGGUGGUUCUGAAUGGAAGGGCCAUCGCUCAACGGAUAAAAGGUACUCCGGGGAUAACAGGCUGAUACCGCCCAAGAGUUCAUAUCGACGGCGGUGUUUGGCACCUCGAUGUCGGCUCAUCACAUCCUGGGGCUGAAGUAGGUCCCAAGGGUAUGGCUGUUCGCCAUUUAAAGUGGUACGCGAGCUGGGUUUAGAACGUCGUGAGACAGUUCGGUCCCUAUCUGCCGUGGGCGCUGGAGAAUUGAGGGGGGCUGCUCCUAGUACGAGAGGACCGGAGUGGACGCAUCACUGGUGUUCGGGUUGUCAUGCCAAUGGCACUGCCCGGUAGCUAAAUGCGGAAGAGAUAAGUGCUGAAAGCAUCUAAGCACGAAACUUGCCCCGAGAUGAGUUCUCCCUGAGACUUUAAGUCUCCUGAAGGAACGUUGAAGACGACGACGUUGAUAGGCCGGGUGUGUAAGCGCAGCGAUGCGUUGAGCUAACCGGUACUAAUGAACCGUGAGGCUUAACCUUACAACGCCGAAG
rnacentral:rRNA from 1 species